rnacentral:rRNA from 1 species
GAUGAACGCUGGCGGCGUGCCUAAUACAUGCAAGUCGAGCGAACGGACGAGAAGCUUGCUUCUCUGAUGUUAGCGGCGGACGGGUGAGUAACACGUGGAUAACCUACCUAUAAGACUGGGAUAACUUCGGGAAACCGGCGCUAAUACCGGAUAAUAUUUUGAACCGCAUGGUUCAAAAGUGAAAGACGGUCUUGCUGUCACUUAUAGAUGGAUCCGCGCUGCAUUAGCUAGUUGGUAAGGUAACGGCUUACCAAGGCAACGAUGCAUAGCCGACCUGAGAGGGUGAUCGGACACACUGGAACUGAGACACGGUCCAGACUCCUACGGGAGGCAGCAGUAGGGAAUCUUCCGCAAUGGGCGAAAGCCUGACGGAGCAACGUCGCGUGAGUGAUGAAGGUCUUCGGAUCGUAAAACUCUGUUAUUAGGGAAGAACAUAUGUGUAAGUAACUGUGCACAUCUUGACGGUACCUAAUCAGAAAGCCACGGCUAACUACGUG